GUGGCUAUAGCUCAGCUGGUAGAGUCCUGGAUUGUGAUUCCAGAUGUCGUGGGUUCGAGCCCCACUAGUCACCCA
rnacentral:tRNA from 1 species